rnacentral:rRNA from 1 species
AUCAAAUUAUUUCGUGGAUUGGAUUUCACUUGCCUGUCUACGGUUCCCUUGCGUGUGCUCGGGAUAAGUGUUUUGUAUAAAUGUUUCGCCGUAUUAUUAAGUAUUCUCGGUGAAUGUCUUGCUAGAAGAUAUAAUUUCUUGGAAUUGAGGUUUAGUAUCUUUUAG